AUCCUACGGGGCGCAGCAGUGGGGAAUAUUGCACAAUGGGGGAAACCCUGAUGCAGCAACGCCGCGUGAAGGAAGACGGUUUUCGGAUUGUAAACUUCUGUUCUUAGUGAAGAAGAAUGACGGUAGCUAAGGAGCAAGCCACGGCUAACUACGUGCCAGCAGCCGCGGUAAUACGUAGGUGGCAAGCGUUGUCCGGAACUACUGGGUGCAAAGGGAGCGCAGGCGGGAAGCCAAGUCAGCUGUGAAAACGACGGGCUUAACUUGUCGACUGCAGUUGAAACUGAUUUUCUUG
rnacentral:rRNA from 1 species